AGUGGAAUUGCUGGGUUAUAUGGUGACUCUUUUUAUUGGGGGAACUGCCAAACUGUUUUUUAAAGCAGCUGCACUAUUUUACAUUCCCACUAGCAAU
rnacentral:pre_miRNA from 1 species